rnacentral:lncRNA from 1 species
UACAAAAUUCUCUUAUUUAAAUUUAAAUUUUAAAUUGAAAUAUUAAAUAUUUAAAUUGAACAUAUUUAGAAAUAUUACUAUUUCUAAAAUUUUUAAAAUUUAAAUUAAUGCCUAAAUUAGAAGAACUCUAAAAUUCUCAAAAUUAAUGCCUAAAUUUGGGAUAUCAGUCAAACCUUAAAUUAAUGCUUAAAUUAGUGCAAAAUUAAUGUUAAACUUAAGAUAUUAAUCAAAACUUUUUUAAAAUUUCGCCUAGUUUAAUUACAAAAAUACCCUCACAUAAAAUCACCUUUUAACCUGCUACAUAAUAAAAUUGCAUUUUUAACCUUCAUUAAUCAACGGCUAAGAUCUUUAUUAUUUUUUAUAAAAUAAAGUACCGUAUCAUUUCUCAUUAAUUAAAACAUAAUAGGAUUAGAAAAAUUUUGGCCUCUAAAAGUGGAAAGUUAGAUAUAUUGUAUC